AACGAACGCUGGCGGCAGGCCUAACACAUGCAAGUCGAACGCCGUAGCAAUACGGAGUGGCAGACGGGUGAGUAACGCGUGGGAACGUACCCUUUGGUUCGGAACAACUCCGGGAAACUGGAGCUAAUACCGGAUGAGCCCUACGGGGGAAAGAUUUAUCGCCGAAGGAUCGGCCCGCGUCUGAUUAGCUAGUUGGUGGGGUAAUGGCCCACCAAGGCGACGAUCAGUAGCUGGUCUGAGAGGAUGAUCAGCCACACUGGGACUGAGACACGGCCCAGACUCCUACGGGAGGCAGCAGUGGGGAAUAUUGGACAAUGGGCGCAAGCCUGAUCCAGCCAUGCCGCGUGAGUGAUGAAGGCCCUAGGGUUGUAAAGCUCUUUCGCCAGGGACGAUAAUGACGGUACCUGGAUAAGAAGCCCCGGCUAACUUCGUGCCAGCCGCCGCAGUAAGAC
rnacentral:rRNA from 1 species